UACGAAGGGGGCUAGCGUUGUUCGGGUUUACUGGGCGUAAAGCGCACGUAGGCGGAUCGAUCAGUCAGGGGUGAAAUCCCAGAGCUCAACUCUGGAACUGCCUUUGAUACUGUCGAUCUGGAGUAUGGAAGAGGUGAGUGGAAUUCCGAGUGUAGAGGUGAAAUUCGUAGAUAUUCGGAGGAACACCAGUGGCGAAGGCGGCUCACUGGUCCAUUACUGACGCUGAGGUGCGAAAGCGUAGGGAGCAAACAGG
rnacentral:rRNA from 1 species